rnacentral:rRNA from 1 species
GACGAACGCUGGCGGCGUGCUUAUCACAUGCAAGUCGAACGGUAAGGCCCUUCGGGGUACACGAGUGGCGAACGGGUGAGUAACACGUGGGUGAUCUGCCCUGCACUUCGGGAUAAGCCUGGGAAACUGGGGCUAAUACCGGAUAGGACUCCGGACUGCAUGGUCUGGGGUGGAAGGCUUUUGCGGUGUGGGAUGGCCCGCGGCCUAUCAGCUUGUUGGUGGGGUGCUGGCCUACCAAGGCGACGACGGGUAGCCGGCCUGAGAGGGUGACCGGCCACACUGGGACUGAGAUACGGCCCAGACUCCUACGGGAGGCAGCAGUGGGGAAUAUUGCACAAUGGGCGCAAGCCUGAUGCAGCGACGCCGCGUGAGGGAUGACGGCCUUCGGGUUGUAAACCUCUUUCAGCAUCGACGAAGCGAAAGUGACGGUAGGUGCAGAAGAAGGACCGGCCAACUACGUGCCAGCCGCCGCGGUAA